AUGGGAACGCGAAGAACCUUACCUAGACUUGACAUCUCCUGAAUAGUGUAGAGAUACAUGAAGCCCUUCGGGGCAGGAAGACAGGUGGUGCAUGGUUGUCGUCAGCUCGUGUCGUGAGAUGUUGGGUUAAGUCCCGCAACGAGCGCAACCCUUAUUACUAGUUGCUACCAUUAAGUUGAGCACUCUAGUGAGACUGCCCGGGUUAACCGGGAGGAAGGCGGGGAUGACGUCAAAUCAUCAUGCCCCUUAUGUCUAGGGCAGCACACGUGCUACAAUGGUGAGUACAGAUAGAUGCGAUACCGCAAGGUGGAGCCAAACUCUAAAACUCAUCCCAGUUCGGAUUGUAGGCUGCAACUCGCCUACAUGAAGUUGGAGUUGCUAGUAAUCGCGAAUCAGAAUGUCGCGGUGAAUACGUUCCCGGGUCUGUACACACCG
rnacentral:rRNA from 1 species